rnacentral:lncRNA from 1 species
UACAGCCAAGUUCUUCUCAGAGGGAUCAGGGUCAGGAUCAGAUGGAUAGGACUGUUAUGAAUAUUGAUCAGACUAUCAGAUCACAGCAGCAGCAGGCAAAUGAAGAUACUUUUAUUCUAAAUGAGCAGCAACAGCAGACAGAUGCACAUAUACAGACUUAGGAGGAGGUUACCAUACAAAGUCAGAAUCAGAUUGAUAGCAUUGCCACUCGUAGACCCAGGCGUCAUAUCAGAACACCACAAAGGUAUGAUUUUGAGGAUUCAGCUUGUGCUGGGUUAGUUUAUUAUGCUCUGAGCAUUGCAGACACUAUUGGUGAUGAGCCGACCACAUAUCAGGAGGCUAUUAGUAGUCCACAGGCUGAACAAUGGA